GCUUGAAAUAGUUAGAGUCGGAGGUUCUGAUGUUGUAUUCUGGUUGAAUACAGUUUAGUAGAUUUGAAUUCUCAAGUAGAAGCUUGGGGAGUGGAUGUAGGUGCAAGGUUGGCACCGAACCACUAUAAAUCUUCUUGUUUGUGUUGUGCUUACUUGCUCUCCUUUUAAAUUUCUUUAUCCUCUUACAUUCUUGCAUCCAAUUUCUACACCUUACAUAAAUUACACUCUCCAUACUUAUCUUGCUCAUUGUUAAAUAUUUUUCAUAGUCGUAAGUUA
rnacentral:lncRNA from 1 species